UCUGCAUCAUCCUCCACUUCUAGGGGGCAACCUGACAAGUGAAUGAAUGGAGAGG
rnacentral:pre_miRNA from 1 species